GUGAGGAAUAUUGCGCAAUGGAGGCAACUCUGAACCAGCCAUGCCGCGUGCAGGAAGACGGCCCUCUGGGUUGUAAACUGCUUUUAUCCGGGAAUAAACCUGCCUUCGUGAAGGUAGCUGAAUGUACCGGAAGAAUAAGGAUCGGCUAACUCCGUGCCAGCAGCCGCGGUAAUACGGAGGAUCCAAGCGUUAUCCGGAUUUAUUGGGUUUAAAGGGUGCGUAGGCGGCCUGUUAAGUCAGGGGUGAAAGACGGUGGCUCAACCAUCGCAGUGCCCUUGAUACUGAUGGGCUUGAAUGGACUAGAGGUAGGCGGAAUGUGACAAGUAGCGGUGAAAUGCAUAGAUAUGUCACAGAACACCGAUUGCGAAGGCAGCUUACUAUGGUCCUAUUGACGCUGAGGCACGAAAGCGUGGGGAUCGAACAGGAUUAGAUACCCGGGUAGUCC
rnacentral:rRNA from 1 species